GCAUUUUCAGUAAAGAAGUCCUGAGUAAAACGUUUCGUUGAAUACAGCUUCUCUGCCGAACCUUAUAUUAAUGCCUCAAGCAGUAAUGUCUCAGUUUUCUCAGUCAAUGCCUGCGGGCGAAGUAUAUACAUUAAGGAAUUUUGCAAAUGGCAAAGAUUAAAGGUCAAGUUAAGUGGUUCAACGAGUCUAAAGGUUUUGGUUUCAUUACUCCGGCUGACGGCAGCAAAGAUGUAUUCGUACAUUUCUCUGCUAUCCAGGGUAACGGCUUCAAAACUCUGGCUGAAGGCCAGAACGUUGAGUUUGAAAUUCAGGACGGUCAGAAAGGCCCGGCUGCAGUUAACGUAACUGCUAUC
rnacentral:sRNA from 1 species